rnacentral:rRNA from 1 species
GGCGGACGGGUGAGUAACACGUGGGCAACCUGCCUGUAAGAUCGGAAUAACUCCGGGAAACCGGGGCUAAUGCCGGGUAAUACUUUCUUUCGCAUGAAGGAAAGUUGAAAGAUGGCUUCUUGCUAUCACUUACAGAUGGGCCCGCGGCGCAUUAGCUAGUUGGUGAGGUAACGGCUCACCAAGGCGACGAUGCGUAGCCGACCUGAGAGGGUGAUCGGCCACACUGGGACUGAGACACGGCCCAGACUCCUACGGGAGGCAGCAGUAGGGAAUCUUCCGCAAUGGACGAAAGUCUGACGGAGCAACGCCGCGUGAACGAUGAAGGUCUUCGGAUCGUAAAGUUCUGUUGUUAGGGAAGAACAAGUACCGUGCGAAUAGAGCGGUACCUUGACGGUACCUAACGAGGAAGCCCCGGCUAACUACGUGCCAGCAGCCGCGGUAAUACGUAGGGGGCAAGCGUUGUCCGGAAUUAUUGGGCGUAAAGCGCGCGCAGGCGGUUCCUUAAGUCUGAUGUGAAAGCCCACGGCUCAACCGUGGAGGGUCAUUGGAAACUGGGGAACUUGAGGACAGAAGAGGAGAGUGGAAUUCCACGUGUAGCGGUGAAAUGCGUAGAUAUGUGGAGGAACACCAGUGGCGAAGGCGACUCUCUGGUCUGUUUCUGACGCUGAGGUGCGAAAGCGUGGGUAGCAAACAGGAUUAGAUACCCUGGUAGUCCCACGCCGUAAACGAUGAGUGCUAGGUGUUAGGGGGGCUUUCCACCCCCUUAGUGCUGAAGUUAACGCAUUUAAGCACUCCGCCCUGGGGGAGUACGGCCGCAAGGCUGAAACUCAAAGGA